UACGUAGGGGGGCAAGCGUUGUCCGGAUUUAUUGGGCGUAAAGAGCGUGUAGGCGGCCAGACAGGUCAGCUGUGAAAACUCGAGGCUCAACCUCGAGACGUCGGUUGAAACCGUCUGGCUAGAGUCCGGGAAGAGGAGAGUGGAAUUCCCGGUGUAGCGGUGAAAUGCGCAGAUAUCGGGAAGAACACCCGUGGCGAAGGCGGCUCUCUGGGACGGUACUGACGCUGAGACGCGAAAGCGUGGGGAGCGAACAGG
rnacentral:rRNA from 1 species